GAAGAGUCAUGAUUGUCAUGUUCUCCUACAACACUUACUUCCUCUUGCAUUACGUGGUCUUCUUCCCAAAUCAGUAUGUGAACCAUUAUUUGAAUUGUCUUUGUUUUUCAAAAUUUUGGGUGCAAAGACUUUACGGGUGGAGGAGUUGGAGCAAAUUGAAUCUCAAAUUGCCACAACUCUUUGUAAAUUGGAAAUGAACUUUCCCCCUUCAUUUUUUGAUGUGAUGGUCCAUUUGCCUAUUCAUUUAGCCCUUGAAGCCAAAAUUGCCGGACCUAUCCAAUAUUGAUGGAUGUACCCUAUUGAGCGAGAGUUAUAUGAGUUAAAACAACUCAUUCGUAACUUAGCUUGUCCUGAGGGCUCAAUUGCAGAGGGUUACAUUGCAAAAGAAUGUAUGACACUUUGCUCAAGAUACUUCACUAACAUUGAGACAAAGUUCAAUCGCCUUAAUCGAAAUCAUGAUGCUGGAAGUCAAGAACACAAAAGUGAUUUAUUAAUAUUUUCACAACUUGGACGUGCAUUGGGAUCUGGCAUGACUCGGGAUCUUCACAUGGAUGAGUGGGAACAAGCUCAUCUUUUUGUUCUAAAGAAUUGUGAUGCAGUUCAACCUUUUUUAGAGGAGUAUUUGCAACUCCAAGCUAGAGCAACAUUACAAAUGUCCAAUAAGGAAAGUGAUAGAAGGUUUAUUAAUUGGUUUAAAAUUAGAGUUGCAGCGCUACAUAAACAUGACAAUCGUAAAAUUACAGAGGAAUUGCUCUCUUUGUCACGUGGUCCCUCCCAAUCAGUUUGUUGCUUCAAUGGUUAUGUUGUGAAUGGGUAUAGGUUUCAUGUAGAAUGUCAUGACAAAGGAUUUAGAACACAAAAUUGUGGGGUGGUUGUGAGUGGUGACAUUGGGUCUGAAAUGGGAAAUAUAGAUUACUAUGGAAUCUUAACUGAGAUUAUUGAGUUGCAGUAUCUUGGUGGUAGAAGGGUGGUACUGUUUCGUUGUAAAUGGUUUGAUGUGCAUGAUAAGGAAAAGGGGGCCAAAGUAGAUGAGUAUGGUUUCACCACUAUAAAUUGUGAUCGCUUGUUAAAGACAAAUGAGCCAUUUGUCUUGGCAUACCAAGCAUUCCAAGUGUUUUAUGCCAUUGACACUAUCAACAAAGGUUGGCAGGUUGUUGUGAAAACACAACCACGUGAUUCUUAUGACUUGCCUUUACAAAUGGAUGACAUUUGUGAUGAAAUGGAUAAUGUUAGUGAAGCAUAUCAACAAGGGGAAUCAUUCAAUUAUAAAGAGGCAAAUCCCAUUUCAACUACAAUAGACAAUGAAAUCAAUUGGGCAAGGGAAAAUGUGGAGCCAAUGGCCGUUGAAGUGGCAACUAAAAGAAAGAAAAGAAAAAGAAGAUGUUAGAAAAUUCAUUUUGUCUUUCAUAAAGGUUUAAGUAAAAGAUGCAAAAGAUCAGAGCUGGAAAAAGGUUGCCAUCCAAGGCAAACAAGUUUAUAGCCCCAGGUGCAUUGGCUAAGGGACAAGUACAUGGAUUAAAACAAUUAAAGCCAAGAAGAGAUAUAAAUGGUGCUACAGAUUUGCUAAGAGGAGGUUCAAGUGGUGCUAGUUCAGGUGAACUCACAUCCCAUCGUCUUUUUGUUCACUUUGGUGAACUACAUUAUAUAGACAAUGACUUCCAACAAGAUUGUAGCUCCUUCAUUGACAUUUUAAGUAUAUGCGGAAAAUUCUU